rnacentral:rRNA from 1 species
AUACGGAGGGUGCGAGCGUUAAUCGGAAUUACUGGGCGUAAAGCGUGCGUAGGCGGAUUAUUAAGCAAGAUGUGAAAGCCCAGGGCUCAACCUUGGAACUGCAUUUUGAACUGGUAGUCUAGAGUACUGUAGAGGGUGGUGGAAUUUCCAGUGUAGCGGUGAAAUGCGUAGAGAUUGGAAGGAACAUCAGUGGCGAAGGCGGCCACCUGGACAGAUACUGACGCUGAGGCACGAAAGCGUGGGGAGCGAACAGGAUUAGAUACCCUAGUAGUCC